UGCCUGAUGGAGGGGGAUAACUACUGGAAACGGUAGCUAAUACCGCAUAACGUCGCAAGACCAAAGAGGGGGACCUUCGGGCCUCUUGCCAUCGGAUGUGCCCAGAUGGGAUUAGCUAGUAGGUGGGGUAACGGCUCACCUAGGCGACGAUCCCUAGCUGGUCUGAGAGGAUGACCAGCCACACUGGAACUGAGACACGGUCCAGACUCCUACGGGAGGCAGCAGUGGGGAAUAUUGCACAAUGGGCGCAAGCCUGAUGCAGCCAUGCCGCGUGUAUGAAGAAGGCCUUCGGGUUGUAAAGUACUUUCAGCGGGGAGGAAGGGAGUAAAGUUAAUACCUUUGCUCAUUGACGUUACCCGCAGAAGAAGCACCGGCUAACUCCGUGCCAGCAGCCGCGGUAAUACGGAGGGUGCAAGCGUAAUCGGAAUUACUGGGCGUAAAGCGCAC
rnacentral:rRNA from 1 species